GACAAAGCACAGAAAGUUUUCCAAGUCCAUUUCAGAAUAUCAGAUGCCCUUAAAGGUUUGAAAGGACUUAUCAGUCAGCAACUUUGGAAGAGCAUUUCAAACCCACUGCCAAAACAAUGGGUCAGCUAAAUACUCUGCAUGUUUAAUGCCACAUCUGAGUUUUUGCAUAUGAGUGAAACUGCAGCUCUGGGACGAUUCAGGGAGUUUUCUCUGCAGAGUAAUUUUGGUUCUUGUGCUGAUUUCUUACAGCCUUUCCACUGCUAUUACAGCUCUGGUAUCCUAUAGCAAGUAAGAACAUAACAUUACAACUGUUCACACGUGGGAGAUGGAGGAACUGCAUUAAGAGCCCAUCAGAUAGGAAAGACCAUGGUUGCUGUCUGAACAGGUUGGCCCUGUAGGGACAGGUUUCAAGUGGCAGCCGUGUGGGAUACAGGGCCUGAAGGAGAUGCUCAGCACCCACCAUUAUAGGAUUCUGAUUUUUUCUUGACUUUGACCCACCGCUGGCCAAGGUCGAGCCCAUCAGUGAUGGUGGUGGAGCCUCGUGGAUGGUGUAGUCAAGAAGUGGGAGAAACCCCCACCAAUCUGGGGUGCAACAGCUGCUGGAGGAAGGAGUGAGAAUAUGUGAGAGGAACAACCCAACCUACCCCCAGGUCAGUGCAGAAGGAGGGGGACGGGCUGCUCUAGGUGCCAGAGCUGAGUGAAACAGGCUGUGCCCCUGCAGCCCAGGGAGGUUCAGGAUGGAGCACAGAUCCACCUGCAGCCUAUGGAGAAGAAGUGACCCCAUGGGAAGCCUGCACUGGAGCAGACUUCUGACAGGAUCUGUGCCCCUGUGAAGAGAGGAGUCCAUGUUGGAGCAGGUUUGCUGGCAGGGCUUGAGACCCUGUGGGGUACAGUCUAGAGCAGCCUGUUCCUGCAGGAGUGCACCCCGUGAAAGGGAUCCAUGCUGGCUGGAGCAGUUCAUAAAGAACUGUAGUCCAUGGGAAAGACUCACAUUGGAGAAGUUUGUGGGGACUCUCUCCUGUGGGGUGGACCUCAUGCUGGAGCAGUGGAAGAGCGUGAGGAGUCUGCCUGCUGAGGAGGAAGGGGCAGAAAGGACACCAUGGGAUGAACUGACCACAGCCCCAUUCCCCCUCCCUCUCCUGCUGUUGGGAUGGAAGAGGCAGAGAAAUCAGGAGAGAAGCUGA